UACGAAGGGGGCUAGCGUUGUUCGGAAUUACUGGGCGUAAAGCGUGCGCAGGCGGUUUGUUAAGUCUGCUGUGAAAUCCCCGAGCUCAACUUGGGAAUUGCAGUGGAUACUGGCAGGCUGGAGUACGGUAGAGGAAGGUGGAAUUCCCGGUGUAGCAGUGAAAUGCGUAGAGAUCGGGAGGAACACCAGUGGCGAAGGCGGCCUUCUGGACCAGUACUGACGCUCAUGCACGAAAGCGUGGGGAGCAAACAGG
rnacentral:rRNA from 1 species